ensembl:lncRNA
GUGAGAAGCCAUGGCAGGUGAUGUUAAGAUUCUGCUCUGUGUAUUUACAGGGCCACGGCAGCAGUGGAGAAACCAUAACCCAAGGAAAUAAUGAGGAGAUGGAAAAUUUACCAACCAGGACAAAAAGAGAAGUAGGAAGGCAACUCAGCAAGGUACAAAGUCUCGCCUCCAAACCUGGCUGCUCAGCAGAGGGGUACAGGAGCACAAAGGCUCCAGGAGACUGUAUGCAUCCCUGCCCAUGAAGGCAGGCAGGUAGCCAUAACUGUAGGAAGAAACCGUGGUUCUCAUGAGGAAUGUGCCCUGAAAGUGAUUUUUCUUGCAUAACAAGCCAGGUUUAAAGAAUACAGGCACCACAUUCUUCAUCUUCUAGGAUAUGUGUUCACAUCUGCUAAGGAGUAAACUACUCUGGGGAGGUGGGGUGUCACUGACAAGUCCAAGCGACACAUAGCUCCAGAUGGUCACAAAAGACAGUUAUUGGAGUGGACUGGUCACCAAUCUGCUAAAUGUAAUCACUGGCUGUGGAGGCAGUGGGUCAGUGGCUUCCAUUUCUGUGACAGGAGCCUGGAACAACUGUGUCCUAAGUGGCUUCAUCCAGCAGUUGAGAGAAACAGAUGCAGAGACCCCACAACCAAACAUCAGGAGAGCUGGGGAGUCCUGUGGAUGAGUUGGAAAUAGAACUGAACAAGCCAAUGGGGUCAAGAACACCACAAGAAGAUAUACAGAGUAAACUAACCUGGGUUCAUAGGGGCCCACAGAGAUUUAAGCAUCAACCAAAGAGUAUGCAAGGGUUGGACCUACGUCCCCACACAUUUGUAGCAGAAGUGCUGCUUGGUCUUCAUGUGGAUUCCCUAACAACUGGAGCAUGGGCUGUCUCUGACUCUGUUGCCUGCCAUUUGAUCUGCUUCUCCUAGUUAGACUACCUCAUUGGGCCUCAGUGGGAGAGGAUGCACUUGGUUUCUGCUGUGACUUGAUGUCCCAGAGCAAAGUGGUACCCAACCGGGGGGCUGUCUCUCUCUCUCUCUCUCUCUCUCUCUCUCUCUCUCUCUCUCUCUCUCUCUCUCAGAAGGGAAAGGGUGGUGGGGGGAGUGAUGGGGCUGUGGUCUGGAUAUAAAAUGAAAAAAUUCAUCCCUCUCAUACACUCACU